GGGGCCUAUUGGGAUGUGUUUAGGUCAUGAGGCUGGAGCCCUCUAGCGGAAUACAUUAAUGCCACUAUAAACAGGAAUUACAGGGCUGAGAUCUCUCUCCUGCUCCUCUGACAUGUUAAGACAUGGCCUUCCUUCCUUUGAAGAACUCAACGCUCCAGGCAUCAUCUUGAAAGCGGAGAAAGCAGACCAUGUGGUUGAUCUUCAGUUAUCCUGAGUCAGCAGGUGGGCCAUUUACAUCACCACGACAGUGUCCACAGGAGUUCCAGUUCCCUAAAUUCUCACCAAGACUGGUCAUCCUCUGUUGGAAAAAAACAUUCUAACAGGCAUCAGGGAUUUCUUGACAAUGGCAAUGAUGUGACGCCAUCCAGCAUCUAUUUGUGAGAACUCUAUUUGACAAAUCAUCACUGUGGGUGUGAACAUAAUGGAGACUUUCAUAGGAUGCAAUGGUUAAUAUUCAACAUUAGUCAAAAUUUACUCUAGUCCUACCCUUGGAGCUCUACUGGGUUGGAAAAAUAUUUUAGAUAAGGACAAUCAUUUCAUAGAGUUUUAAAAAUAAAGGCUAAAAUAAAUUUUCUGUAGCAAGAGUAUGAACUAUAUGUAGCCAGCAUACCCUUUUUUAGUGGCAUAUAACAAAAAUUAUUUAAAUGUAUUUAAUUUAAAUAAUUGUAUAAAUAUGCAUAUAUAAU